rnacentral:lncRNA from 1 species
UGGUGUAGGUCGCAGAUGUGGCUCAGAUCUGCUGUGGCUGUGGCUGUGGCAUAGGCCUGUGGCCACUGCUCCAAUUGGACCCCUGGCCUGGGAACUUCCACAUGCCGUGGGUGUGGCCCUAAAGAGACAAAAAAAAAAAAAAAAAAAAAAAAAAAACAACCCAGAAAACACCAAAAACUACUUUGCAAAGAGACUUGCACAAAGAAAUGGGUUGGGAUGGAUGGAAAACAAGAUUGAUUCUUUAUGGGUAAUAAAAUAUGAGCUAAUAUAUAUAUUUAAUAUGCAAUACUUAAGUUAUUGCCUACUUGAACUGUAUUCAAAAAUGAAAUCAGAGGAGAUGAUAGGAGUUCCUACUGUGGCACAGUCAGUUAAGGAUCCAGCAUUGCUACAGCUCUGAUGUAGGUUGCAGCUGUGGUUCGGAUUCAGUCCCUGGCCUGGGAACUUCAUAUGACACAGGUGAGGCCAAAAAAAUAAAUGAAGAAAAUGAAAUAAAAUCAUAGUAAAAUAUCAGAAACUUUAGCAGGAACUCAAAUAUAAUUUUCACAGUAGUAGCUUAAGAAAUUUUAACUUAGUUUGUGUUGUAUACUGAAUUCUCCCUUAAACCUGUGUAUCUUGCAUCAAACGUAACACUUCUUUGCCUAUUUCCUAUCAUUUAUGUUUACCUGGUCUUUUCCUAGAGGAGGAGGCUCACCUGUCCAGCCCACUAGAAUAUGCUUGAAUGAUGGCUAUGCACAGCAGCUGAAUCACCAGGAUCUCUCAGUAGGGAAGAGCAUGCCCCCAACCCUGCCCAGGAUGCUCAGUUUCUGCUGCUCAGCUUAAAAAGUGUGACCACGUCACUGCGUUGACUUCUUGACUUGAUACGUUGUUUAUUGAUCAUUGUUGGAAAUGUGCUAUUAGCAGAUGUAGAAUUUAUGAGUAUGGGGAAAGGAUUUAGCAUUUUGAGAGUUGUCCUGGCAAAAUUUUCUGAGAGGCAGGCCAAGAGGAUGCUUAGGGCAUCUGCAAAGCAGUUAUUUUGAGAACAACAUUCCAAAUAUGUUAUUUGUUAUUUGGUGACUCAAAAAGCAAAGCAAAACAAAACAGUAAAGAAGUCAUUAUGACUUCUUAAUCUAGGCUUAGUGACAGAGGUGACAGAACCAGGGAAAGAUGGAAAACCCAGAUCCCCUAAAUUCCUUACUUUGAGAUACAGUCUCUGUGGAGUAAAUUGUGUUUAGUUUCCUUGAAUGUGUUUGUCAGUUGUGGCAUGCAGAUGUAGGUUUAUCAUCUUUCUGUUGUUGGUCUAAUGUAGAUCAUUCAUCCGUCCUUAAUGCCUCACCCAGCAUUUGGUUCAGGGUAAAGCCCUUAAUAACUGUGUUCUGAAGUUCCCACUGUCGGGGAAGGGGAUCGAUGGCAUUUCGGGAGCCUGGGAUGCAGGUUCAAUCCCCCACCUGUCACAGUGUGUUAAAGAUCCCGAGUUGCCUUGCCUUGGCUUGGCUUGCGACUACAGCUCGGAUCUGACCCCUAGUCUGGGAACUCCAUAUGCUCUGGGGAGGCCAAAGGGAAAAAAACAAAACAAAAACCCAUGUUCUAUGUCAAACUCUGGAGUUGCUGACUUGUCCACAUCUCACUUAAGUGGAAUAUAGCCUGGAUCCCAACUGCAGUUUGGUUUCGUUUGUUCAGAGCAAAAUAAACUUCCUUGAGAUGUUUUCAGCCUGAUCGUGGUAAACAGUAACGUUGGCAGAAGAGGAGGCCUCCUUAAUCCCUGUACAAAGGUGGUUUUCAUGCCUGUUGCUGGGUGACAAGCUGGCAGCGAUGCCAGCUAGCCUGCAUUGCUUCAGCAGGUGGCGCUCCUGCUCUCUGUGUGGAAGCCGGCAGCAGUGCAUUGGCUCUGGGUUUGGGCAGGCAGGAAUGCAGAUCAACUCAUAGCAGCUUCUUGGGCAAGCAGCAGCACAAACCCAUUAUCAGUGUGGUGGCAGCUGCUAACGACUGUCUCUCCUUGCAGUCAGUUUCAGAGUAAAGGCCUUUGGAAUCUGUCUGUGAGGCUGCGGAUGGCAAGAAGCAAAGCUACUGUCUAAAAAAGCAGGUUAGGAAUCUGUUAUCUGGUACCCCGCAGACGGUCUGGGAGCAGAUUGGAGGCUAAGAUUAGACUCCAGGCAGGCUCUUCCCUCCUGUAACUCUGGUCUGGAUAAUCUCAUGAAAAUGGCCAGCUUUCUGAAGCCACAUCUUGGAACCAAGUUAGUGAAAAAUCAAGAAUAUCUUGAAACAGCGACAGGAUUAUAUUUUUAUACCUAUGGGCUGGCUUCUCCUGGUCGGUCUUGAUUUCCAACCUUUCGUCUUAUUGCUGAUGUAAGAGCAUUAGCCUUUGUCAGACAGUGCCUCCCUCUACUUGGGGUAUAGAAAAUAUGGUCACAGUAAUUUCCCACCAUUGUCUGACAGCUGAGUCUCAAGCAGUGUUAUGGACUGAAUGUUUGUGUUCCCCUUAAAUUCCUAUGUUGAAAUUCUAGUCCCCAAUGUGAUGGUAUUAAGAGGUGGGGCCCUUGAGGGGUGAUUAGGUCAUAAGGGUGGAGCCUCAUGAAUAGGAUUAAUGACCUUGGAAAACAGGCUCCAGAGAACUUUCUCACCCUUUAUACCACAGGAGGACACAGUGCAAAGAUGGCCAUCUAUAAGCCAGGAAGGGUGUUCUCAUCAGACAUCGAAUCUGCCAGCACCUUGAUCUUGGACUUCCCAGCCUCCAGAACUGGGAGAUAUAAAUUUCUAUUGUUUCUAAGCCACUGAGUCUAUGAUAUUUUGCUAUAGGAGCCCGGAUGGACCAAGGCAAUCAAUACUGUGCCCCCUCUUUCUCUCUAAUUCAAACUUAAACUCUUAUACACAUAGUGCUGGGAAACCAUGAGCCAUUGAGAUUUGGUUUUCUCUGGUCUCUUUGUUUAUGGGGUGAAUAUCUGCCACACUAGCAAAUCCUUGUCCACUUUGAAGAGAGAGACAGUAGCUGUGUCUUUUUAAACUUUAAGUAGAUAUGAAGCAACUUCUCAGAGAGAUGAAUCCAUGUGUGGAUCAUCUCAUUUGUGUCUGAUGAAUGCCUGGCAAAUAUUCCACCACCACUCCUCUCUAGGGUAGACAUUAUUAAUUUAUUAUGGCACACUUUCCUGCUGGACCAGUUGUGGCCUCAGACUCUUUGGCACGUGGGAUAAAACUUAUUUAUCUGGUUUCAACCAUGGUUGAGCUUUAAUGUUUUCAUUGUAUUAGGUAAUGAUAAAGGUCGACUCUUAGCUGAAACAACAAAACAGAUCCCUUAUUGUUGGUUCUCUAAGGAAACAGAAACCCUAAAGGAAGCCAUAGGGAAUCAUUUAAUUUUAGAGCUCAAAGAAAAUGUGAUGAAUGUCCAGAAUCUCAAGAAAAUGAAGUUGUUGCUCAAAAGACAAACUGGGUGGGAAGUCUCCUUCUCGUGAGGGUUGAAUCUCUUGUUGCAGGGUAACCUUUCCUCCAAGAACAACUAGAGAAGAUGCAGAAAACACAUAGGGUAUCUGUUUGAAGGCACUGGAGUGCUGCCCAGAUAGCAAACAUUUAAAGGGAUAAGGUCCUUAAGAAAAGGGAAAAAAACAGAGAAAUGAGGUGAUAUUCAGACUGGUUUUCUUCCUCAAGGCACUUGCAAAUAUCCAAGCUGUGGCUGGCAGGCUGGGAAGCUAAACAAACUUCCUGUAGAUUUAUGGGGCAUCAAGAACAAAAGUUGGCAUCAGUGAUUUAAGGCCUUGGCAAACACUCAGGCUUUUGGAUGGGCCCCUCAAAUUACUAUAUCAUAGGAAAUAGAAAGCUCUUUACAAAGUCAGAAACUCAGCUUCAAAUUAAUUUUUGAUUGGUAGGGUAAUCUGCUCCCAGUUAACUGCCUGUUGGACACAAAAAUAAACUCCCUUCAGGAAGAUAACACUAUCCGAAGCUUCAAAUUAUCUUGAAAAAUUUUAACAGAAGAUUCCCUGCAUUCAGACAAAAAUCAACUAGUAUACCUCAAGGCAAAAAUCACUGAAAACUAAGGGGAGAAAUCACUCAAGAGAUUUGAAUAUUGCACUUAUCAAGCAUGGGAAGUUAAAAUAAUUGUGAUUAUUAUGUUCGAGAAUUGAAAUGAUGAGAUAGAAAUUGCACUGGAAACUAAAGGAAAUCUGAUUGGAUAUUUAGAGUUGAAAAAUGAAUAUCUAAAAUGAGGAAUGCAAUGGAUUUGUUUCACAAUGGCUUAGAUAUAGUUGAAGAAAGAGAUGACAAACUGAAAGACGAAUCAGGGGAAAGUAGAAAGGGAUUAGAUGGAGUUAAAAUGGGCUGGGACCAGACACAAAAGAAUAUUUUUAUAAAGUAAAAAACUACCACCACCACCACCACCAGCACACAUACACACCCAGAAGCAGCACAAAUCCCUGUUGUUACACAUCAGGAAGGUUGUUCCCGCUGGAGAGCAAGUGUGGUGGGGAGUGAUGGAGAAGGGGAGUGGGAGAACUUCUAGGCUGCUUGACUAUGUUUUAUGUGUUGAUCUAGGUGGUGGGUUACAUAAAAGAAUUCACAUUGUGCAAGUUUAUUAUUUUUGCAACAAAGAGGUUUUCAAGAUAUGUUGAGAAAAUAGAGACAUGAGAUUUUAAAAACAUUUUGGUAUAAGUUCAAUGAUUAUUAUUAUAAACUAUUCUUUUUGGUGUACCCUACUUAAGCUAUUUCAGCUUCUCCUUUUCCUUUCUCAGAGGUCUCUGAAUACAGAUGGCAGCAACCCAACUCACACCCUUCUCCCCAACAAAAAAGGAAGCAUUUGAUCUAAAAAGAGCAACUGGAUUCAAGGGUUCAGAUAUGGUUAUCAGGAUUAGGUCUCUCUUCUCUCAUCUUACAACUCCACUCACUUCAUCUUGACUCUGUUGUGCAUGAAGACUAUCUCCACGUGGUAGGCAGAAUUCUGGCAAAAAGAACCAAUAAUUGGAUUACACUGGACCCUUCCUGGGAGACUUAGACACAUUGGAUUCCAGGGGCUUUAAUGCCCACAAACCCCAAGAUAAUGUAAGAGUAAAAGCAGUGUGAUUGCCGUAAAGCAAAUGCAACUUCAUGGCAUGUCAAAUAGCCUCCUGGCCUUCUUUCAGGCAGAUUGUAGUCCAGAAGCCCCUCCACUCCGUGGAAAUUCUGGCGCUGCUGCUGUCUGUGAACUACUGUAUGGAGUGUUAUACUGCUUCAGGCUCACCCCUGAGGCCAGGAAUGGAUGAGGGGCCUAAGGCUCUGUGAUUUGUGGCCCCAUCCAGUCUCUGGGUAUCAGACACAGGAGGAAAGGAUGUGGACAGGCAAGAGCCAUGUGUCCACUCUUUGCCAAAUAAUUUUUAUUUUUGCACAUUAAAAAGGGGAUAAUGCAUACUGCCAAGUUGCUCUUGAAAAGAACUACAAGUGGACAAGAAAAAGACAGACACCCAAUAUUGUACCCAUAGGCUAUGAGUGUACCCAUUUGCUUCAUCCUUACCAAUACACGAUAUUAUCAUUAUUUAUAUUUUUGUCAGUCUAAUGAACAAAAGCGAUAGUAUCUCAUUGCUUUACUUUUCACUGGCCUCGUGUUUUGGUCAUUUGCAUUUCUUCUAUGAACUGCACAUCCUAUCCUGUGCCGCUGGUGUACAAACGGGGGAUGGGCACACAGUGAGGGUGAUCAUCUCAGUCAGAAAAGACAACUUUGCCACUGAUGCUCUUCCAGAUUGUUGUGUAUGAUGGUGAUAAAAAGAAGACCGGCUUGUAAUUGGUUUUUAAUUCUCUAUUGACAAUUCCCCCUGCCCCUCAUCACCAGCACCUAGGUAGGGUGUUGCAACACCCGAUGUCUUUCCUACCUUCUUCAUGUCUUUUCUUAUUGCUUUGUAUUGUUUCUAUUUAUAUUCUGGGCAUUAAUGCUUUUUUUUUUUUUUUGUCUUUUUAGGGCUGCACCUGCAGCAUAUGUAAGUUUCCAGGCUAGGGGUCAAAUCAAAGCUGUAGUUGCCAGCCACAGCCACAGCCACAGCUACACCAGAUCCGAGCCUCAUCUGUGACUUACAAUGCAGCUCACACAGCAAUGCUGGAUCCUUAACCCACUGAGCAGGGCCGGGAGUCGAACCUGAGUCCUCAUGGAUACUAGUCGGGUUUGUGACUGCUGAGCCAUGACGGGAAUCCCAUUAAUGCUUUGUUUUUACUGUGGCUAUCUUUCCCCGUUCUGUUCUGGUCUUUUAAUUUUAUUUAUGGUUAGUUGUUUUGUUCCCUUUCACUUUUGAAGAGGAUCAGUUAACUUGUAUGGUAGGCAAUUAGUUUGUUAUUAAAAACUCUCACUCUCCUUCUUCUGGGCAUUGUUUUAAAUUACUCCCAGAUGAAUUGGGAGACUUCUGGAUCAGUUUUCCAAUAGUGGACAAGGGAGCAACCAGAUGGUCCAGCUAUGAUGCACAGCUCGUCAGUACUAGAUAUUUUGGGGAGAUGAAUUGUAUCACAG